rnacentral:rRNA from 1 species
AUACGGAGGUUGCAAGCGUUAUUCGGAAUCACUGGGCGUAAAGGGUGCGUAGGCGGUUUGAUAAGUCUGAUGUGAAAUCCUAUGGCUCAACCAUAGAACUGCAUUGGAAACUGUCAGACUAGAAUACUGAAGGGGCAGAUGGAAUUAGUGGUGUAGGGGUAAAAUCCGUAGAUAUCACUAGGAAUACCGAAAGCGAAAGCGAUCUGCUGGGAAGUUAUUGACGCUGAGGCACGAAAGCGUGGGGAGCAAGCGGGAUUAGAUACCCUAGUAGUCC